CUCAGCUGUAGGCAACUGCCUAGAUUGCCUUGUACCUAGGCAAGUGUUACACAGCUGGGAGAAAAACAGCCAGUAGCUGGCAGGCAUUCUGGGUCUGGUUAAUGCCAAAUU
ensembl:snoRNA SNORA74 Small nucleolar RNA SNORA74